GAUGAACGCUGGCGGCGUGCCUAAUACAUGCAAGUCGAGCGAACAGACGAGGAGCUUGCUCCUCUGACGUUAGCGGCGGACGGGUGAGUAACACGUGGAUAAUCUACCUAUAAGACUGGGAUAACUUCGGGAAACCGGAGCUAAUACCGGAUAAUAUAUUGAACCGCAUGGGUCAAUAGUGAAAGACGGUUUUGCUGUCACUUAUAGAUGGAUCCGCGCCGCAUUAGCUAGUUGGUAAGGUAACGGCUUACCAAGGCAACGAUGCGUAGCCGACCUGAGAGGCUGAUCGGCCACACGGGAACUGAGACACGGUCCAGACUCCUACGGGAGGCAGCAGUAGGGAAUCUUCCGCAAUGGGCGAAAGCCUGACGGAGCAACGCCGCGUGAGUGAUGAAGGUCUUCGGAUCGUAAAACUCUGUUAUUAGGGAAGAACAAAUGUGUAAGUAACUAUGCACGUCUUGACGGUACCUAAUCAGAAAGCCACGGCUAACUACGUG
rnacentral:rRNA from 1 species